GUCUUGGCCCAGGCAGAAGAGUUACAUCGCCUAGGUACCAGGUCCAGGCAAAGUGUAACAUCACCUACGUGCUGGACCCAGGUACAUGCCACAAUCUACCCUCUGGGCGGGACCCAGGAGGAAGAGCAACACAACUCAGAAGAUGGGUUCAGGUGGAGUGGCUCACACCAGUAAUUCCAGAACUUUGGGAGGCCGAGGCAGACAGAUCACCCGAGGUCAGGAGUUCGAGACCAGCCUGGCCAACACGGCAAAACCCCAUCCCUACUAAAAAUACAAAAAUUAACUGAGCAUGGUGGCAGGUGCCUGUAAUCCCAGCUACUCAGAGGGCUGAGGCAGAAGAAUUGCUCGAACCUGGGAGGCAGAUGUUGAGCUGAGUUCACGCCACUGUGCUCAAGCCUGGGUGACAGAG